AUACUAAAAAGAAAAACUUCACUUGAGCCUUGUUCGUAUCUAAAAGUUUUAAUUACCCCUAUAUUCUUUUCCCUUCUCUAUACGAUGAACAAGAAAAAAAAAAUCCCCAAACUGAAAUCUAGGUCUUCAGUCUUCUCGACUCCACCACAGACUCCACCGCGAAGCUCGUCGCCGGCCUCAUUUCGCAUCCAUUAUGUCAACUCCGAGCCUAAGACUGAAGACGCCAAUGGAGACAACACCAAUCAGGACAAAGAUCGAGACUGAGAUUGAGAUGGGGACCGAGUACGUGACCGCGACUGGGAGAAUGAUAGGGGUGAGAUCGAGAUUGCGAUAGGAAUAGAGACAGAGAGAGAGAGAGAGAGACCGUGAGCGUGAAUGCGUAGGUUCGGAUUUUGUGAAACAAUCAAGAGUUUUAUGUUCUUCUUAUUCGUCCAAGUGCACCCACCAGAUUGGUUCUACUACGAUUGAAGUAAAGACAAAAGAGGGAGAUGUUCUUGCAAUCAUGAAGCGUAAGGAGAUAAUAAGAAGGUUUGAGAACUAAGUCUUUUUGUGAAUUUUUUGUUUAUCAUUUUCAUGUUUGGAUGUUCUCUAAACAUUUUGAAUCUCAUAUAAGAAAGAAGAAGGCUGUUCACAAGACCAUUACAACCGAUGACAAGUUUUGUUGUCCCUUCUUUCGAUCUCCCUUGCUCAAACUUUGUUUUCGUUGAGCUGUUGUUUUUAUUCUCAUUUUUUUGUGUAGAAAGGAGAUAAGAGAGCCAGUCAGCCAGAAAUUCUAGGCCACAAGUGUGUGACUGUUUGGAGUUUCCAACAUGAAUAAAGAGUCUGGCGCCUGAGCAGAGGUAACAGAAGAAAUUAUUUUCAAUAAAACCCUCCUGCAGAGAUUGUGGAAUGGCCUGAAUCUGGUGACAAGCCCAUACAGAGGGAAUAUGGAUGGGAAUGCUAACCGGAACAGUUCUUCAGACAUGUGUACUGCUUUUGAUGGGAAGGCGAAAUAGAUAGAGGAGAAGAGACGGAAGAUAUCGCAAGUUUGUCUCAAUCCUUAUAAGUUUUAAUGUUAGCUUUUUUGGAUAAAACUUGGCAGCAUAGUACAAGACUUGUAUGAUAUGUAAGACUUGUUUAAAUUAAUGUUAUGUAUGUUGAUGAUAUUUAUGAAAUAAUUUUUUUUU